rnacentral:rRNA from 1 species
GACGUAGGGCGCAAGCGUUGUCCGGAAUUAUUGGGCGUAAAGAGCUCGUAGGCGGUCUGUUGCGUCUGCUGUGAAAACCCGGGGCUUAACCCCUGGCUUGCAGUGGAUACGGACAGACUAGAGGUAGGUAGGGGAGAAUGGAAUUCCCGGUGUAGCGGUGAAAUGCGCAGAUAUCGGGAGGAACACCAGUGGCGAAGGCGGCGAUCUGGGAAGAUACUGACGCUGAGGUGCGAAAGCGUGGGGAGCAAACAGG